GGUGGACUGGUCUAGUGGUUAUGAUUCUCGCUUAGGGUGCGGGAGGUGCCGGGUUCGAUUCCCGGGUUCGCCC
rfam:Nematocida parisii ERTm3 unplaced genomic scaffold supercont1.8, whole genome shotgun sequence.